rnacentral:lncRNA from 1 species
CCCCAUUUACUGCUGAGACCUGUCAGACUGGCUUUCUGCGGAGCCUGGAGCUGCUCAGGUAACAAGAUGUGUAGUCACCACUAAGAGCUGGAAUUAAAACAUCAGUCCAUGGAGUGGAGACAUGUGAAUUCCCCAUUAAAAUAAUUCAAGACACAGCCCUCAGUGGGUAAAGAGAAGCACACUGCCUUUUGGGCUAGGAAAGAGGUGAUCCUUUCUGAUUUCCUGGAGCCUGGACAAGCC